rnacentral:antisense_RNA from 1 species
UUUUUGAGAAUCAUGAUGAGGCAUUAAAGAAGAGGAGGAGUGUCUCAAGGGAGGUGAGCUGGAGGUGAUGCAAGGAUGUCUGAUCUGAAAGCAUGUUGUGGUCCGCUACACACAAGAGCAAAAGAAGAGCAGAAAGGAGCUCAGUGCCAAGACCAUAGCCACAGGAAGAAAACCAGCUCUUAGGGCUGCAGCUCUAAAGACAGGCCAGGUCAUUACAGGAACGUCUGCUCCCUUAGCCUUGCCAGACAGAAGAGGGUUAAGAAAGGAACUGCUGACCCUGAUAUGCAAACUGCCACGAGUGCUUCCUGCCUUUCUAUCAGCGUCAGAUGGCUAGCGAUGGAUGGCUGUAAGGUUGAUGUAAUUAAUAUUUUAUUUUCAGCGCCACGGUGCUGGUUGGGUGCACCAGACAAAUCAACCAACAGAUUAAAGAGUGAUGGAGAAAGCUGUGUUUUGGGCCUCAUUUGGGAACAGAAUGGAAGAGUUGAGGGUGGAAGGGACCUCAGCAAGUCUUCUGAUCCAUGUUUCAGCCUUCAUUUCCCCAUAACCUCAAGGAGAGAGUUGCUUUUCCUGUUCUUCAAAUGAGUUCCUUGAAUUCACACUCUAUUUCUUUGAAUUUGCACAGACUGUUGAGGAACAGGCGGCAGGGUCACUCUA